UUUAUAACUUAUAUAGGACAAUACUGUUGAUUAAAAAAUACUCCAUUCCAGGACCUUUUGUUUUCCAAAUAAUUAAUAUUAUUGUGUCAGUUCGACGGGUUCAAACAGAAAGACUUGAAAGCAGAGAAAAACUGUGUAUCUUAUAAUCGGCAUGACUUUAUUAGAUGACAAUACUAAUACUAAAAUAAGGCUUACGCAUAGUUAUAUACUUUAAUUCAGUCACGGACCCGUGAUAUCACGGGUGUGUUCUAGUAAUGUAUUAUAUGUCUCUGUUUUAGUAUCUGUACUGUCAUCUGAUAAAGUCAUGCCGAUUAUAAGAUACACAGUUUUCUCUGCUUUCAAAUCUUUCUGUUUGAACCCGUCGAACUGGAACUUAUCAAUUAUUGGUAAUAUUAAUUAUUUGGAAAACAAAAGGUCCUGGAAUGGAGUAUUUUUUAAUCAACAGCAUUGUCCUAUAUUAGUUAUAAAUAAAGUUGAAUUCUUUGAUUCGCUGUUUUACGUCAUGCCCGCUAACAAAUUGAAAACUGUACCUAUACGCCUUAUCAUAGUUUCAGUCCAGAUUUUUAGUAUUCGUAUUGUUAUCUUAGAAAGUCUUACUGAUUAAAAUACUACAAUAGGUAACAAUUCGACAAUUUAGUAGUGUCAACCCUGUGAUUAUGACCCGUGUAUAUAGCAUAUUAAUCCUGAAUACACCGUUUGUUGGUGCGCCUGUCAGAUGCGGA
rnacentral:lncRNA from 1 species